AAUGAGAAAAGAGAGAGAGUGAGAGUUAAGCAUUGCCUAUGUUUAUGAGGAUUGGAUUUGACAGAAGGAUAAGCUCCGAUGACUCCCUGUCAAUGUGGUCCAGGAAUAUCCACGUAGGAAGGAGAUAUAUAAUAACAAUUUUAUAAUUGUGACGACAUACAAUUAAUGCAAUCGUGUUGAGUUGUACCUGUUUUUUCCAGGAGAGGUGGAUUCCGAUCCCCCCCAAAUAUUAUUUGCCAUAAUUGGCGAAUUACUGUUAAGUGAGUUGACAGGGAAUUUAAAGCACAGCUUUGGAAUCCAUAAUCUUCCUUUUUUGUUAUGGAAGAUUCACUUCAAGCCCGAAGAUUUUCCCGAGCCAAAUCAAGGCUUUCCAACCGUUGAAGGAGGAUCAAGCCUGCACUUGAGGCAUAAUGCAGUUCCAUCUAUUUCCCCCUGCUUAAAAGGGAAGCUAGGAGACUCAUCUUGACAAGAACGAGCUGAGAAACGUCAUUGUUUGAGCAACAUCAGGCCCCAUUUAUUAAUUGAACCCUCUUAAGAAAGUCAAAAUGAAAAUGAUUACAAUGUAGCUCAGGUCGAUGAUAUAUUUUGUGACGGAUAAUUUUUCACCUUGUUACUGAGGAGUCUUACAUCGACAACGACUUUGUUUCAAAAUCAAGAUUGUCAGACAAACUCAAUUUCUACAGCUCAUCAGUACUAAAAAGAUGUUAUUCUACCAAGUUUCUAGAAUGAAAAUUUCAAGAAGGAUUCAUCAAUAAUCGCCUACUACCCAGGAUUCACUGACUACAUCAGUACCAAUAUUUUGUUUCCUGUCUUGGACCUUGUGUUGAUCAUUUCAAUUAUAAAAAUCAUUCUUUGACACCACAAGAGUAGCUUUUACUGACCUCAUGAAGCUCUGACAGAACAAGGAUGACAAUGAACUUGCUGUUAUGUUCCAAAUACAUCGUUCUUUCCUUGGGAAAGUGUUCAAAAUAUGUUUGAAUUUUCUCUAUUAUCAAUUUAAAGAAACGUAUCUCUUCUUGUCUAAGAAUAUCAGGGAUCUCUACAUGCCAGAUGACUUUUAAAGGAAGUUUCCUAAUACAAAAAUUAUUGAGAAUGCUACUUAGGUCAAAAUCAACAAGCCGUACAAAGUUAAAGAUCAGAAGUUAACAUGGAGCUCCUACAAUAUAACUGCAAAAUAAUAAAAAUAAUGGUUGAAAUUAGUCCCAAGAGGGAUUGUCUCCUACAUCUCACCGGCGUAUGGUGUUUCUUGCUGUGAUCGCCAAAUAGUUAAAAAAUCAGAGUUACUGAAAGAUAAAUGAUUGUGUAGGAGAUUCUAUCAUGGCUGAUAAAGACAUUAUGGUACAGGAUAUUUUUUCCAAUCAAGACGUAAAGGUGAAUAUUCCCUACAUCCAUGAGAGGAGUCAAUCAACUACCCGGACCAGCAGUGAUCAUAGAUAGGGAAAUUGCUUCUAAAAGAAUUCAAAUUGAGCGAGUCAUUGUACUCGCAAAGACGUAUAAAAUUUUCAAAUGUAAAUUUGAUAUUAAUAUAACUGUAUGGCGGGGACUAAUUUUAUAUGUUUCUUUUGAACUGUGCAACUUUAGGAAGAACAUAGUAAAUAAAAGCGCAUAAAUAACAUAAAAUUAAAUAAUCACCUUGUAUAAAAAUCAAUGCUAAAAUGAUGUACUUUAUAAAAAUUAUAAAAGGUGGGAUAAUUUUCGGAGAAAAUAAGUCUCUAUCAAAAAAUAGUUCCUCAAUAAAGACAUCUUCAAAAGUAUAGGUAACA
rnacentral:lncRNA from 1 species